UUUCUGCACUGGGGGUGCCCACUAUGGCUGAGAUGCGAGCUUUUUGCUCCGAUCCCUUAUAACUCGAUCAGGAUAAUACCUGCGUGAGGAAGUGCGGUGACUUUCCG
rnacentral:ncRNA from 2 species